ACGAACGCUGGCGGCUGCUUAACACAUGCAAGUCGAACGGAGUGGCGAACGGGUGAGUAACGCGUGAGCAACCUGCCUAUGACAGUGGGAUAGCCUCGGGAAACCGGGAUUAAUACCGCAUAGUCAUAGAUGGGGUCGCGUCGGAUUAGCUAGUGGGUGCGAUAACAGCCCACCAAGGCGACGAUCAGUAGCCGGUAUGAGGGAAUGAGCGGACACAUUGGAACUGGUACACGGUCCAGACUCGUACGUAAGGCAGCAGUGGGGAAUAUUGCACAAUGGGGGAAACCCUGAGGCAGCGACGCCGCGUGAACGAAGAAGGUAUUCGUAUCGUAAAGUUCUGUCCUAUGGGAAGCAGUACCAUAGAAGAAAGCUCCGGCUAAAUACGUGCCAGCAGCCGCGGUAAUUC
rnacentral:rRNA from 1 species